rnacentral:sRNA from 1 species
ACAGCUACCUUGGAGGGCAUCUCCUCCGCC